GACGAACGCUGGCGGCGUGCCUAAUACAUGCAAGUCGAACGCAUUUUCUUUCACCGUAGCUUGCUACACCGAAAGAAAAUGAGUGGCGAACGGGUGAGUAACACGUGGGUAACCUGCCCAUCAGCGGGGGAUAACACUUGGAAACAGGUGCUAAUACCGCAUAAUUCCAUUUACCGCAUGGUAGAUGGAUGAAAGGCGCUUUUGCGUCACUGAUGGAUGGACCCGCGGUGCAUUAGCUAGUUGGUGGGGUAACGGCCUACCAAGGCUGCGAUGCAUAGCCGACCUGAGAGGGUGAUCGGCCGCACUGGGACUGAGACACGGCCCAGACUCCUACGGGAGGCAGCAGUAGGGAAUCUUCGGCAAUGGACGCAAGUCUGACCGAGCAACGCCGCGUGAGUGAAGAAGGUUUUCGGAUCGUAAAACUCUGUUGUUAGAGAAGAACAAGGAUGAGAGUGGAAAGUUCAUCCCUUGACGGUAUCUAACCAGAAAGCCACGGCUAACUACGUG
rnacentral:rRNA from 1 species